GACGAACGCUGGCGGCGUGCUUAAUACAUGCAAGUCGAACGGAAAGGCCCUGCUUUUGUUGGGUGCUCGAGUGGCGAAGGGGUGAGUAACACGUGAGUAACCUGCCCUUGACUUUGGGAUAACUUCAGGAAACUGGGGCUAAUACCGGAUAGGAGCUCCUGCUGCAUGGUGGGGGUUGGAAAGUGUCGGCGGUGGGGGAUGGACUCGCGGCUUAUCAGCUUGUUGGUGAGGUAGUGGAUUACCAAGGCUUCGACGGGUAGCCGGCCUGAGAGGGUGACCGGGCACAAGGGGACUGAGAGACGGCCCAGAAGGCAACGGGACGCAGCAGUGGGGAAUAUUGCACAAUGGGCGGACGCCUGUGGAAGCAGCGUCGCGAGCGGGAUGACGGCCUUCGGGUUAUAAACCGCUUUCGCAUGUGACGAGGCGUGAGUGACGGUAAUGGGUAAGGAAGCACCGGCUAACUACGUG
rnacentral:rRNA from 1 species